rnacentral:rRNA from 1 species
CAGUCGCCGCGGUAAAACGAAGGGGGCUAGCGUUGUUCGGAUUUACUGGGCAUAAAGCGCACGUAGGCGGAUCGAUCAGUCAGGGGUGAAAUCCCAGAGCUCAACUCUGGAACUGCCUUUGAUACUGUCGAUCUGGAGUAUGGAAGAGGUGAGUGGAAUUCCGAGUGUAGAGGUGAAAUUCGUAGAUAUUCGGAGGAACACCAGUGGCGAAGGCGGCUCACUGGUCCAUUACUGACGCUGAGGUGCGAAAGCGUGGGGAGCAAACAGGAUUAGAUACCCCCGUAGUCCCUGUCUCUUAUAC